GGACAGAGGAUGGGAUAGGAGGUUUCUGAAGGGAAGACCUAAAAUGGGGAAAACAUUUGAAAUGUAAAUAAAGAAAUUAUCCAAUAAAAAAAGAAAAAAAAAAAGAAAACAUAAAGAGAGGCAGGAGACAUCUGAAGGAAAAAAAAAGAAUUUGGAUAAUGUAGUGUGGUUAAGUACAUGUGUGUUCUUAGCAUCUGAGAGGCACAGGCAGGCAGAUUAUGAAUUGAAGUCUGUCCUUGGCUAUAUGACCUUAUCUCAAAAAAUUAAAAGGGCAAAAGAAUUUUGUUCUUUACUGCAUAUUUUCAAAUGUGUAGCCAAUAUUUCACUAAAUGAUGGCAAGCUUUCCCCUUUCCUUUGGUUUGUAUUUGAGAAGGUAAUAGGUCACUUCAUAUCACAGUUUAGACUAUUUAAACAAAGCAAAUGGAGCACAUGUCUUGUGUAGCCAAUAUGCAAAUUUGGGGUAAUUAGUUCACAUUCAGAAGGAUAAGUGUACUUUUAGCUUCUGGAUUUAUUUCAAAGCUAUUUAGAUAAUGAAGAAGGUAGUGUAGUUUAAAGUGAAAAUAUAACAAUAAAUGUGUCCAUUCACUGAGACAUAAAGCUAGAUGAGUUAAAAUGGACUUGCAAGUAUUAAUAAGAGCUUAAAGGGUCAAAUGAAAGCUAAGGCAUACAAUUUAGUUCAUUUUUGCACUGAGGAGCUGUAGCCAACAGAGUUUAUAGUGCUGGCUGAAUGUCCUUAUCACCUUUGAAGAUGUCCACUUUAGUAAUUAUAAAUAUGUCUUUCAAUAUGAGUGCUGAUUAUUACUGGUAGCACACAUAAUUACAGAGAAAGUCUGGCUUAUUAUGAAGAACAAUUGUAUACCAGAAAUACUUUCAAAGUAAUUUAUUUAUUCCUGUGCUAUCUACAGUAAUUCAGUGUAAUUAGUAAGAAGUUGUUUUAUGCAGAUCACUUUCUCAAAGUACAAUUUAAUGAAAUAUUGAAAAGUCAAAUUUGAGUAAACAUCUUUUAUUUGCAAUCAUACAGUCACUCCUUCUGAUGGAAACUGAUACUUCAAAUUUAUUAAGUAGAAUUACUAUAUUGCAAGAGUAGCUAUUGUUUCAAAUUUGUAUGAGUUACAAUUUCUCUUUUAAUGAACGAGUGGGACUGUAAAUAUAAAUUAAAAAAUUUUAAUAGUAAACAAGUAAGGAAUCUUAUACUGUUAAUAUCAUCUUUUAUCCUUUUAAAGGAAGAACUGGUCUUGCAUUUAUAACCUGGGUUUACCAUAGGCUUAAUUACUUAUAUUAAGCAGUCUUAACCGAACCACCCAGAACUCCCAGAGACUAAGUUAUCAACAAAGAAGUACACAUGGCUCCAGCUGCAUAUGUCGCAGAGGAUGGCCUUGUCAUGCAUCAAUGGAAGGAGAGGUCCUUGGUCCUAUGAAGGCUCAAUAGAUGCCCCAGUAUGGAGGGCAGGGAAGUGGGAGUGAAUGGCUGGGUGGAGGAGCACCCUCAUAGAAGCAGGGGGAGGGAAACCAGGAAAUGGGAUAGCAUUUGAAAUGUAAAUAAAAAAAUAUCCAGUAAAAAAUUUAUGGUCAGUUUGAAAAAAAAUUCCUAGAAUAGUGAAGAAAGCUUUUAAAGAACUGUUUUAGAUGAGAUACAAUAAAGUGUGAAUGUUUAUGUUUGACUCAAUGAUUUUCAAUAACAUUGCAACUUUGCAACGUUCACCCUUUCUCAUUUUGGAAAAUAUGUUUAAACUACGAAUCUACAGAGACAUGGAUUCUGAUUUGAUUGAAUUUAUUGAAAAACCCCAUAUUCUUUUUGUAGUUGUGUGCAUAACAGUGAGAGACAGAGAUAGACCUUGCUAUAGAACUUGGUAUUUUCUCUGAGGAACAAUGGAGAGGAUGCUGAAGGAGUAGGGACAAGAGAACGCAGUUCAUGAAAAUACUGCAUGGACACGUUUCUUACACAAGUCUCCCUGUUUCAGAUGACCCUGGGGAAGGCUUAGAAGCCUGAAGCCUUGAGAAUGAUCUAGCAGCCCACAGGAAGGCUUCUCUCCAUCUCCAUGUUUAUGAUGGUGAUCACUAAUUACAUGGAAGACUUAGGGACUUUAACUGUAUCAGUUUUUAAAAAUGAUUAUUGUAUCUAUUAUUUUUCUCUCUAUUUCUCUAGAUGCAAACAACAUAUUGUUGGAGAAGGCUGUCCAUUUUAUUAAACAUUUAUGUUUAAGUUGGGAAUAUAUAAAUAAGUAUUGAUCUUCAUCAGAGCAUGAAUUGUGUUUGGAAAAAUUAUGGUCUGGCUAGCAUUUUAUUUUUAUGGAGAUCUUUCACUUCUCCUCUUUACAUUACAGAAUGUUAAAUAUUUCUUAAAUUGUCUUUAUGAUUCUAAGCACUGAUACCAAUACUAAACAUUUUUAAAACAUGAGUUAUAAAAAUUAUUUUCCUAUAUGUGGAUAUAUUUUUAAUUUAUUUAAAAGUAUAUAUUUGUUUAAAUUAUGUACAUUAUUAUUGAUGAAAAAUUUAAGUAUGUGCUAAUAAUUUUUGGAAUUAAAAUUGAAAACAGCAUAUAGUAUAACAUAUUACUGUAUCACAAAAUGUUCCUAUAAUUAGAACAUAUGAUGUAAUCUAUUGCCCUAUUUGUGGUCCUUUUCUUCUUUUUUGCUUGGCUUGGGACUACAUCAACUUUAAUUUUUAAAAUAUUAUUUAUGUUUGAUAUACUUGAACUGAAUGUGUUAUUUUACUUUUCAAAUGUAUGAAAGAAGAUGAUAUCUAAUGAUAUUCAUUUUAGAAAAAAAAAGCAACUUCACAUAGUCCUCAGUUUGUAGAUCUGUCCUACCUUUAAGUCCUAAGGAUGGACUUGUUGGGACUCAGAAAACUGACACCCAGGCUCUGAAAUCUGACAUCACUGAACUAAAUGAACACAAAAGUACGGGAAGCCUGCUCUCCCAACCUCCUUUUUCUGUUCUGAAAUUGAGGGAGUGGCUUCACCUGGAGCUGUCUUCCUAGUAGGAAGGCAGUUAGGAACUCUCAUUAACUUGGAAAGAUUAAUCACUGGGGAAAAGGAGACUGUGUUCAGGAUGUUCCACCUGUUUAGGCAUCGUCUGAUUGUCUGAGGGCAAGGGUGAGACGUUACCUAACAUACUUUGUGGACCUUGUAUGAUCACUUUUGUUUCUGUGUAUCUCUCCUUCUGUCUUCCCAGGACUUGUCAGCAUGAGCCUCCUUCCCUGUUCAAGCCUACGUUUUUUCAUGUAGCAACUAAAGUUAUUUAAGCUUCAAUCAUCUGAUUUUGAGAAACUGUAUUUUACUUACGUUUCUUACAUUCUGAUUCCCCUUAGACAGCUCAUACAUCAACAAAUGGGUGUAUCUUUUUCCUAUUAAAUGUGUGUAUUGUCAAUGUAUUUUAUGAUUGAUAUAAUUUCUAAUUACUUAAAACCAAAAAUUUAAUAAUUAGUAAGUGGAAAGAACCAUGGUAGAAAUAAUAAUUUAAUUGUUAAACUAGAUACUUGUCUCCUAAGAGUUUUAGGAAGGAGCCACAGCUGCUCCAACAGGCAUCUGCUCCAAUAUGACAACUGAAGAAACAAGAAUUGGUGAGCAGAGAGGGGUGAGAUCUAAUCGAUGUGGCCAUACUGAGAGAAACAGAUAAGGAAGUUCAGUAACCCCAAGUUCAUCUUUAGGGUACUGACAUAAGUUUUAAGUUUAAGUAGAGGAAGAGGGUAAGUGGUAUGGCCAAGGUGUGGUCUUGAUUACUGUAUGAAUUCUUCAAGGAGGUUCUACAAGGUGUUCCAAACAGGUCCUUAUUUCAGUCCUAUGGACAGGAUCCAUCUGGUUCCUUUAGAUGCUUACUGCUACUUCAGGGUGUACCCUCAUUUUGAUGUAUAAUUGCACUCAGCUGGGUGCUGGUCUGCUGGGUGAGGUUUUGCUUUUCCUGGAAGCUGUGGUGAUUGCAGGGCUGGGGCUUUGUCUGCCUCUGUGCCUUCAGCCUUGGAGGGGAUGGGAUGGUUUAGAUUGCUAGAUAAGACACUCCUUGAUUUCUUUACAUGCCUGGUGUAGAAGUAGGCAGGUGACGAAAGCUGAGAGAGAUCCAUACCACAUGAAAGCAGAUAUGCCAGACUUAUCCUUUUCUAGUUACCUUUUUCCCCAAAAUGAGGAGCCUGUGUUUUGCAAAGAAAAUGGUUUCUAAGUGCUUAUUACACGUGCAUUUUGUAGACACUUUACAGAGUCUACUUCAUCUAUAAAAACACAGCCAAUAUCACUAUAGCCUUAAUGUAGCAAACAUAUCAGUCAUUCGAUUAACCAAGUGUAGCCUGAAAUGACAAAGUUAAGGAGGAGUAAGCAAAGUGAGUAGUAAUUUUAGUAGGCUCAGAGUAAUUCAAUAAAGAAUAAAUUAAUUUGAAAUAUAAAUUCAUAAUCUAUUCCAUUCACAAAAUUAUACCAUCAUUUAUUGUUUGUAUGGCUUCCUUUGUGAACUUAUAGUAUUGCAUAUACAUAAAAAUUAAACCAAUCUUACCUUCUGGUUUGAGGAAUUAAAAAUUCUCUGAUGUUAGUGUUAACUUAUAAGUAUUUAUGUAACACAAAUAUUUAUCUUAUAGG
rnacentral:lncRNA from 1 species